UGAGGAAAGUAGGGGAUCGCAAGACCUUGCGCUUAAGGAGCGGCCGAUGCCUGAUUAGCUAGUUGGUGGGGUAAAGGCCUACCAAGGCAACGAUCAGUAGUUGGUCUGAGAGGACGACCAACCACACUGGGACUGAGACACGGCCCAGACUCCUACGGGAGGCAGCAGUGGGGAAUUUUGGACAAUGGGCGCAAGCCUGAUCCAGCCAUGCCGCGUGAGUGAAGAAGGCCUUCGGGUUGUAAAGCUCUUUCAGUUGGGAAGAAACGAUUGCAACUAAUAAUUGUAAUUAAUGACGGUACCGACAGAAGAAGCACCGGCUAACUACGUGCCAGCAGCCGCGGUAAUACGUAGGGUGCGAGCGUUAAUCGGAAUUACUGGGCGUAAAGGGUGCGCAGGCGGUUUUGUAAGUCAGAUGUGAAAUCCCCGGGCUUAACCUGGAAUGCGUUUGAAACUACAAAGCUAG
rnacentral:rRNA from 1 species